rnacentral:rRNA from 1 species
GACAGAGGGUGCAAACGUUGUUCGGAUUUACUGGGCGUAAAGCGCGUGUAGGCGGCUUUGCAAGUCGGAUGUGAAAGCCCACGGCUCAACCGUGGAAGUGCAUCCGAAACUGCAUGGCUGGAGUCUCGGAGAGGAAGGUGGAAUGCUUGGUGUAGAGGUGAAAUUCGUAGAUAUCAAGCAGAACACCUGCGGCGAAGGCGGCCUCUGGACGAUGACUGACGCUGAGACGCGAAAGCGUGGGGAGCAAACAGG